UACAGAGGUCUCAAGCGUUGUUCGGAUUCAUUGGGCGUAAAGGGUGCGUAGGCGGCGCGGUAAGUCGGGUGUGAAAACUCGAGGCUCAACCUCGAGCGUGCACCCGAUACUGCCGGGCUUGAGGCAGGUAGGGGAGAUCGGAAUUCCUGGUGUAGCGGUGAAAUGCGCAGAUAUCAGGAGGAACACCGGUGGCGAAGGCGGAUCUCUGGGCCUGUACUGACGCUGAGGCGCGAAAGCUAGGGGAGCGAACAGG
rnacentral:rRNA from 1 species